rnacentral:rRNA from 1 species
UGGGGAAUAUUGCACAAUGGGCGCAAGCCUGAUGCAGCCAUGCCGCGUGUGUGAAGAAGGCCUUCGGGUUGUAAAGCACUUUCAGCGAGGAGGAAGGUGGUGAGCUUAAUACGCUCAUCAAUUGACGUUACUCGCAGAAGAAGCACCGGCUAACUCCGUGCCAGCAGCCGCGGUAAUACGGAGGGUGCAAGCGUUAAUCGGAAUUACUGGGCGUAAAGCGCACGCAGGCGGUUUGUUAAGUCAGAUGUGAAAUCCCCGGGCUCAACCUGGGAACUGCAUUUGAAACUGGCAAGCUAGAGUCUCGUAGAGGGGGUAGAAUUCCAGGUGUAGCGGUGAAAUGCGUAGAGAUCUGGAGGAAUACCGGUGGCGAAGGCGGCCCCCAGGACGAAGACUGACGCUCAGGUGCGAAAGCGUGGGAGCAAACAGGAUUAGAUACCCUGGUAGUCCACGCUGUAAACGAUGUCGAUUUUGGAGGUUGUGCCCUUGAGGCGUGGCUUCCGGAGCUAACGCGUUAAAUCGACCGCCUGGGGAGUACGGCCGC